rnacentral:rRNA from 1 species
UACGUAGGGUGCAAGCGUUAAUCGGAAUUACUGGGCGUAAAGCGCACGCAGGCGGUUGGUUAAGUCAGAUGUGAAAGCCCCGGGCUCAACCUGGGAAUUGCAUUUGUGACUGCAAGGCUAGAGUACGGCAGAGGGGGAUGGAAUUCCGCGUGUAGCAGUGAAAUGCGUAGAGAUGUGGAGGAACACCGAUGGCGAAGGCAGCCCCCUGGGUCAAGAUUGACGCUCAUGCACGAAAGCGUGGGGAGCAAACAGG